rnacentral:rRNA from 1 species
UUUUAUAAAUUAAAACUUGUAUGAAUGGAAAAAUGUAAAUAUGACUGUCUUUUAUUUAUAUAUAAAAUUUGCUUUUUCAGUGAAGAAGCUGAAUCUUUUUAAAAAGACGAAAAGACCCUAAUGAGUUUUAAAUAUUUAUGUAAUAUUUAUAUAAAAUAUUUUUAGUUGGGGUGAUUAAAGAAAAAAUCUUCUUUUUAAAGAUUUAAAUAAUAAUUAAUGAGCCAUUAAUAAUGAAUAAAAGUUUAAAUUACCGUAGGGGUAACAGCAUAAUUUUUUUUAAGAGUACAUAUUGACAAAAAAGAUUGUGACCUCGAUGUUGGUUUAAGAAAAUUUUAUAAUGGAGUAGUUAUAUAAAUAAGUCUGUUCGACUUUUAAAUUCUUA